AGUGAACGCUGGCGGUAGGCCUAACACAUGCAAGUCGAACGGCAGCACAGUAAGAGCUUGCUCUUACGGGUGGCGAGUGGCGGACGGGUGAGGAAUACAUCGGAAUCUACUUUUUCUUGGGGGAUAACGUAGGGAAACUUACGCUAAUACCGCAUACGACCUACGGGUGAAAGCAGGGGAUCUUCGGCCCUUGCGCGAGUGAAUGAGCCGAUGUCGGAUUAGCUAGUUGGCGGGGUAAAGGCCCACCAAGGCGACGAUCCGUAGCUGGUCUGAGAGGAUGAUCAGCCACACUGGAACUGAGACACGGUCCAGACUCCUACGGGAGGCAGCAGUGGGGAAUAUUGGACAAUGGGCGCAAGCCUGAUCCAGCCAUACCGCGUGGGUGAAGAAGGCCUUCGGGUUGUAAAGCCCUUUUGUUGGGAAAGAAAAGCAGCAGGUUAAUACCCCGCUGUUCUGACGGUACCCAAAGAAUAAGCACCGGCUAACUUCGUG
rnacentral:rRNA from 1 species